AGCGAACGCUGGCGGCAGGCUUAACACAUGCAAGUCGAACGCAUCCUUCGGGGUGAGUGGCAGACGGGUGAGUAACACGUGGGAACGUACCCUUUGGUUCGGAAUAACCCUGGGAAACUAGGGCUAAUACCGGAUACGUCCGAGAGGAGAAAGGUUUACCGCCGAAGGAUCGGCCCGCGUCUGAUUAGCUAGUUGGUGGGGUAACGGCCUACCAAGGCGACGAUCAGUAGCUGGUCUGAGAGGAUGAUCAGCCACACUGGGACUGAGACACGGCCCAGACUCCUACGGGAGGCAGCAGUGGGGAAUAUUGGACAAUGGGCGCAAGCCUGAUCCAGCCAUGCCGCGUGAGUGAUGAAGGCCUUAGGGUUGUAAAGCUCUUUUGUCCGGGACGAUAAUGACGGUACCGGAAGAAUAAGCCCCGGCUAACCUCGUGCCAGCCGCCGCGGUAA
rnacentral:rRNA from 1 species